rnacentral:lncRNA from 1 species
GAAAUUUACGUGGAAAACUCCAACUAGGAGUAAAAAACCACGGGACCAACACACGAUAACAAUCCACUAUGAAAUAAAAGAUUACAAGGUGAUUUACCGAAUCCACGGACUCAAACCUCUCUUUUAUCUUCUUCGGAUUUCGCGCACACCAACGCGUUGUCCACGCCCAGCGUCCAAAUCCACGAACGCCACGUCCCGAAUCCACGAAGCCUUGAUCACGCUGAAUCCACGACGCCCACUCGAAUCCACGAGCACACUCCGUCCGGAGCAAGAACAAAACGAUUGAUGAUGAUUUAUUGCUUAGAUAAUCAUUAAAGAACCGUAGAAGAUGUUGGAUCAAUUCUCCAU